rnacentral:rRNA from 1 species
GUCGAGGAUCUUCGGCAAUGGGCGCAAGCCUGACCGAGCGACGCCGCGUGUGCGAUGAAGGCCUUCGGGUUGUAAAGCACUGUCGAGGGGGAGGAAGCUCCGUAAGGAGUUGACCUAUCCCUGGAGGAAGCACGGGCUAAGUUCGUGCCAGCAGCCGCGGUAAGACGAACCGUGCAAACGUUAUUCGGAAUCACUGGGCUUAAAGGGCGCGUAGGCGGGCUGGAUAGUCUGCGGUGAAAUCCCCCAGCUUAACUGGGGAACUGCCGUGGAUACUGCCAGUCUCGAGGAGGGUAGGGGCAUCUGGAACAGCCGGUGGAGCGGUGAAAUGCGUUGAUAUCGGCUGGAACUCCGGUGGCGAAGGCGAGAUGCUGGACCCUUUCUGACGCUGAGGCGCGAAAGCCAGGGGAGCGAACGGGAUUAGAUACCCGAGUAGUCC